rnacentral:lncRNA from 1 species
UAAUUGGUGGUAAACAGCAAGUAUUUAAUGAAAUGAUACGUACCAGAUCUAUUGUAUUAUUGUUACAGUUUCUGUAGGGGUUAUUCUACGGUUCUUCUCAUUGUUGUACUGAACACAUAUAUACAAUGAACAUUCAGCUAUCAUCACAGAUUGCACACUAGAUACUGUAGUAAUGCAGUCUAAUACAAGACCAUCAAAAUAAUACAUUAUUUAAAUUUGAUCAGUCCUUAUUUUUUUUUCUCCCAUAAAGAAUACAAAAAGGCCACCCAGAGUUGGGGCACAUCUCCAGCACUCCCAUCGUAACUGUACACCGACCUAUCGCUUGGGGGGUUAAUAAUGGCUUAAAACAACUCAAAUGCGUUGAGAAAAAGAAGAAAAAAAAUCACGAAAAAAAUUAUUAAAAUAAACCCUAAAAAUAAUGCAGUUAAAACAUGUACAAUGCAACUGGACACAAAGUCAGUUGUGUUAAUCCACACAAAACACGUAACAACUUCCUGACAGAAAAAUAAUAAUAAACACAAAAUUAAAAACCCAGUUAAUAAUUGCAUAAAUACUUUAUACAGUUCAUUUCACUCUGGAGAAGAAAUGCACCCUUUUCUUUAAAAUGAUAGCCUGACAACAUAAAAUUGCAUUCGAUAAAAAUCCUGAUUCUUAUUCCUCUCUAAACUUUUUUGUUAUUGUUUUUUUUGUACAUGGAGAAGGUGGAAAUAAUGAACUCAGAUGAAUAAUAAUAAUAAUAAUAAUAUUAAUAAGCCAUCUGGUUUAUUUUGAAGUUGCUUAGUAACAGACAUGUUAUCAGCUGGCUGCUAUGAUACAGUACAUAUUUAGAGUGAUUUACCAAUAGUGAUAAGAGUGCAUAUUACACGGAGGGGGGGAAAGUCGUCGCACUGUAAUCAAUUAUUAACUACUCAUUGACUGCACUUGUGUAACAGCUCUUUAAGUGUUUUAGCUGUCAGAAGAGACUCUCCAAAAAAGUAAAAAAUAAAAUUAAAAUAAAGUGUAAAAAUAAAAAGUGAUUUCUAGUAAAGAAAGCAGCACUUCAAUGCACCGUUGCCCACAGCAUCAUCAACAUACAGAACACGACGAAUGAACGAGGAGGGAUACAGAUCGAUGACGAACCAUGACGAAAACAAACUAUGUUCGUAUUUCACGGUCCCCACAUAUACAUCGAGAAAUAUUCCUAACAUACGCCACACGUAGCUAGCUAACGACAUCUAAGAGUGAAAUGUGACGAGCAAAUCGCUUUUCUUGUGACCGACAGAGUGGAUUUCAUGCUGCAAUCAACUACAGAGAUCGUCCUCAGUCAAAUAUAUAUAGUAGAUGUAAAACACCUAGAACAUUUUAGAUUAUCUCUCACUAACACACACUACUGGGUCUCAUCUCUAGUUUCUACCGCUGCUGUUCCAUAGGUCUCAUCUCUAGUUUCUACCGCUGCUGUUCCAUAGGUCUCUCUGGUUAACUGGGUCUCAUCUCUAGUUUCUACCGCUGCUGUUCCAUAGGUCUCUCUGGUUAACUGGGUCUCAUCUCUAGUUUCUACCGCUGCUGUUCCAUAGGUCUCUCUGGUUAAC